UUUCAGUUUGAUAAGUUGCCU
rnacentral:siRNA from 1 species